UUGUUCAUGGUGGUUGGGGUAUUGAUGACAAUGGCAAUCUUGUAAUUAGUUGAAGAUGAUGAGGGUGAGAGAGUAAAAAUGUCAUUUUCGGAAAGAAAAAAAAAUAUUUGAUAUAUUGGGGUUAGCAUUACUUUUUUCCCUAUAAUCAUAUACAUUUCAAAAUUUGAUUAAUAUAUACUAUGUUAUUUCGUUUAUUACUAUUCUAUUUUGAUACUGCUUCAUAUUAUGUACUAUGUGCAUAUUUGAUAUUGGGUUAGUGUUUAUAUUUUCGUUUAGGGCUUAGUGAUUAUUGUGUUGGGUUUAGUUUAUGGAAAGUUUGAGUUGAUUUUAGGAUAAGCAUUACCUCUUUCAGUGUAAUCAUAGACAUUUCAAAAUCUGAACAUUAAUAUGUACUAUGCUAUUUCGUUUGUUACUACUUUAUUUUAAUAAUGCUUCUUAUGUACUGUGUGCAUAUUUUGAUAUUUAGUUUAGGGUUUAUAUUUUUUUUUAUGGUUUAGUGACUAGUGUUUUGGGUUUAGUUUAUGGAAGGUUUGGGUUGACGUGGGAUAAACAUUACUGCCACUAUUAUUAAACCAUUUUAUAAUUUCAUUAAUAUGAACUAUACCAUAUGUAGAAUGAUCUAUUCUAUCUACUUUGUUUAUCUUCUUCCAUAACAUUAUAUAUUUCUCCGAUCAUCGUAGUCAUAGUAAUCUUUGUGUGAAACAC
rnacentral:lncRNA from 1 species